rnacentral:rRNA from 1 species
GAUGAACGCUGGCGGCGUGCCUAAUACAUGCAAGUCGAGCGAACGGACGAGAAGCUUGCUUCUCUGAUGUUAGCGGCGGACGGGUGAGUAACACGUGGAUAACCUACCUAUAAGACUGGGAUAACUUCGGGAAACCGGAGCUAAUACCGGAUAAUAUUUUGAACCGCAUGGUUCAAAAGUGAAAGACGGUCUUGCUGUCACCUAUAGAUGGAUCCGCGCUGCAUUAGCUAGUUGGUAAGGUAACGGCUUACCAAGGCAACGAUGCAUAGCCGACCUGAGAGGGGGAUCGGCCACACUGGAACUGAGACACGGUCCAGACUCCUACGGGAGGCAGCAGUAGGGAAUCUUCCGCAAUGGGCGAAAGCCUGACGGAGCAACGCCGCGUGAGUGAUGAAGGUCUUCGGAUCGUAAAACUCUGUUAUUAGGGAAGAACAUAUGUGUAAGUAACUGUGCACAUCUUGACGGUACCUAAUCAGAAAGCCACGGCUAACUACGUG